CCGGCACGGGUGGAGUAACACGUAUGCAAUCCACCUGUAACAGGGGAGUAACCCGGAGAAAUCCGGACUAAUACCCCAUAAUAUGGGCGCUCCGCAUGGAGAGCCCAUUAAAGAGAGCAAUUUUGGUUACAGACGAGCAUGCGCUCCAUUAGCCAGUUGGCGGGGUAACGGCCCACCAAAGCGACGAUGGAUAGGGGUUCUGAGAGGAAGGUCCCCCACAUUGGAACUGAGACACGGUCCAA
rnacentral:rRNA from 1 species